GUGAGGGGGUCCGCCGGCCUAGAAUGGGAAUUCCCUUCACCAGGAUAUGGAGACUGUUCAUUCACCAGGAGCAUAAAGUCAUCAUUGUCGGGCUGGAUAAUGCAGGGAAAACUAUACUUUACCAGUUUUCUGUGAAUGAAUUUGUGCAUACAUCCCCUGCAAUAGGAAGUAAUGCAGAAGAGGUAAUGAUUAAUAAUACACGUUUCCUAAUGUGGGAUAUUGGUGGCCAAGAAUCUCUUCGUUCUUCCUGGAACACUUACUAUACUAACACAGAGUUUGUAACAGUUGUUGUGGACAGUACAGACAGAGAGAGGAUUUCUGUAACUAAAGAACUCUAUAAAAUGUUAGCACAUGAGGACCUAAGGAAAGCUGGAUUGCUGAUUUUUGCUAAUAAACAAGAUGUUAAAGAAUGCAUGACUGGGCUGGGCAUGAAUGCAUAACUGGAACAAAUCUCCCAGUUUUUGAAGCUAACUUCUAUGAAAGAUCACCAGUGGCACAUCCAGGCAUGCUGUGCUCCUACUGGCGAAGGAUUGUGCCAAGGGCUUGAAUGGAUGAUGUCACGACUUAAGAUGAGAUGGUCUCUACUGACCUCUUCUCAUAGACUUUGUAUAAACGAAGUGCUGGACUUUACCUGAAAGCUGCAAAAAUUAAUGAUUUAGAUAUAUUUAUAAUAAACUGAUUUAAACUUUUUCUAUAAGAAGAAAAAUUAAGACCACUUAUUUGAAAUCAAAGAUGAAGUCUCACCUUCCAAUUUGCUUUCUCAUUAGUUCCUUCCAAAGUAAGUUAUUAAAGCUGUGAUUGACAUUUUUCUCAUAAUGAAUCCUCUCAGGACAUUGUGUAGCCAGUGGUAAGUAAAAGGGAGAGGAAGACAUUUGGAACUUUAAAAGCUUUUUUAUCAGUGUAACCCUCCCUAGUCGAAUGUUCUCUUCUUGUUCCAUUAAGUCAAAAUACAAAUCAGCACAGAUAUUCAGUUUCCAAAAUUUUAAAAUGUAAUGUUACUUAUGAAAAGUAUUUUGUAUAAGGUUGUGUAUAUAUUGUGUAUAUACCUCACGUUCAAGUUAAUGGCUUUGAUUUAUGUUCUAAAGAAAAGCAAAUAAUACAAAAAUUAAUAAUACCCUUAGUUAUAACCAUGAUAAGUACUGGCAUUGGUGUUAAGUGCCAUUUUGUACUCUACCCUUAUGUUCUCUGUAUUGUAUUAACCAACUCCCAAAAUCAUUGAGCUGCUCUUAAAAAAAAAAGGGAAAAGGAAAAAGCUUGAAAAAAACAAUAAAUAAAUAAAGGUAUACUCCCAU